AGAGUUUGAUCCUGGCUCAGGACGAACGCUGGCGGCGUGCUUAACACAUGCAAGUCGAGCGGAAAGGCCACUUCGGUGGUACUCGAGCGGCGAACGGGUGAGUAACACGUGAGUAAUCUGCCCCUGGCUUCGGGAUAGCCACCGGAAACGGUGAUUAAUACCGGAUAUGACAGACCCUCGCAUGGGGGUGUGUGGAAAGUUUUUCGGCCAGGGAUGUGCUCGCGGCCUAUCAGCUUGAUGGUGAGGUAAUGGCUCACCAUGGCUUCGACGGGUAGCCGGCCUGAGAGGGUGACCGGCCACACUGGGACUGAGACACGGCCUAGACUCCUACGGGAGGCAGCAGUGGGGAAUAUUGGACAAUGGGCGGAAGCCUGAUCCAGCAACGCCGCGUGAGGGAUGACGGCCUUCGGGUUGUAAACCUCUUUCAGUACCGACGAAGCGCAAGUGACGGUAGGUACAGAAGAAGCACCGGCCAACUACGUGCCAGCAGCCGCGGUAAGAGAGAGUGU
rnacentral:rRNA from 1 species